rnacentral:rRNA from 1 species
UGGGCGUCGAGCGGCGGACGGGUGAGUAAUGCCUAGGAAAUUGCCUUGAUGUGGGGGAUAACCAUUGGAAACGAUGGCUAAUACCGCAUAAUGCCUACGGGCCAAAGAGGGGGAUCUUCGGACCUCUCGCGUCAAGAUAUGCCUAGGUGGGAUUAGCUAGUUGGUGAGGUAAUGGCUCACCAAGGCGACGAUCCCUAGCUGGUCUGAGAGGAUGAUCAGCCACACUGGAACUGAGACACGGUCCAGACUCCUACGGGAGGCAGCAGUGGGGAAUAUUGCACAAUGGGCGAAAGCCUGAUGCAGCCAUGCCGCGUGUAUGAAGAAGGCCUUCGGGUUGUAAAGUACUUUCAGUUGUGAGGAAGGGGG